GGGACUUGUUCUUCUCAGGUGAAGAAUUGUUCGUAUUCUGAAUUUUACUUACAGCCAAAGUGGAAUCCAGUUUCUCAACAGCUCUUUUAGAUGUAGAAGUGUCAGGGUGCACUGGUGUGCUACAGUUAGAAGAUGAAGAGGAGGAAGACGAUGACGACGAACUUUCAGUUCUCUCUCCAUCUUCUCUUCGAGUUCUAAUUUUCUUAAGCUC
rnacentral:misc_RNA from 1 species